UGGUCUUGACAUCCACAGAACUUUCCAGAGAUGGAUUGGUGCCUUCGGGAACUGUGAGACAGGUGCUGCAUGGCU
rnacentral:rRNA from 1 species